UACGUAGGGGGCAAGCGUUGUCCGGAAUUAUUGGGCGUAAAGGGCGCGUAGGCGGAUGUUUAAGUCCGGUGUGAAAGAUCAGGGCUCAACCCUGAGAGUGCAUCGGAAACUGGGCAUCUUGAGGACAGGAGAGGAAAGUGGAAUUCCACGUGUAGCGGUGAAAUGCGUAGAUAUGUGGAGGAACACCAGUGGCGAAGGCGACUUUCUGGACUGUAACUGACGCUGAGGCGCGAAAGCGUGGGGAGCAAACAGGAUUAGAAACCCUUGUAGU
rnacentral:rRNA from 1 species